CGGGCCCCGCCCCGUCCUCGCUGCCGGGACGGCCUCGGGACCCCCCACACUGACAGCGCCUUCAGCCUCACGGUUUGCUGGAGACAUUGAGGAUGUUGGUAGACGACAACUAGAAUGACUUGCAAAUCAGAACCUGCAGGAAGCUUCUCUGCUGUUUACACUGUGUCAUAAGACAAAUGGCACUGAUAUUAACUGGAAAAUCUGGUCUAGCAUACAUUAUGUGCAUUUAGAGUAACAGUUCUGUACCUUGCUCUAUACUUAAUGGUACCACUCUGUAGCAUCUGGUAGAACAAGUUUUCCUUAGGACGUGUAAGUAUUUAUUUUCCUGAGAUCAGUAAGGAAACUUGUGUAUGUAUUUAGGUGUAUUAUUAAACAAAUAGAAAAAAAAGAAAAAAAGUAUACAAAUGAUUGCUCACUUGUAUUGUAUCAGUAGUUGAAGGAGGUUUCGUGGAACUUACUAGGACAACCUGAUGUCCUGGUCCUGCUGGAGCUGCCUGUGACCCCAUUUAAGUUUUCUCUAAGUGUAUGUUCACGAACAACCUCUCUUCACAAUCCCCCUGCUCUUGGAGCAAGUCAAGGAUGACAGUGCCUGCUACAGCAACUGUGCUCUUUUUACCCAGGUCAGGUUAGGUACAUCUACCUGCCAGGUAUCCUUCCUGAAAGCUGGGACCAGUACUAAAUUCAGUCUUCUGCAAUUUCUAGUUGACUUUCUUCCCCUCUGCUCAGACAUUCUUCAUUCAUCUUGUGGUGAUUUGUUUCUGUUUCCUGACUAAAUCUCUUCCUCUCAUUUCUUCUCUAGCUCCUGGAGAUUGUAAACCACAUGCUGGAACACCAAUUAACUGUAAAUGCUACAACUAUUUCAUAAAAAUAUUUUAAAAUCAUAAGCACGUCUUCAGCACAUCAGCAUCUUCCUUAGUUAGUUUUUAAAGUGCUAUCUGAUGAAUAUCAGAUAUUCAUUAGAUAUUUAGAAUUUGGGUACCAAAUUGAUCUUAAUGCUAAAAUACAGUUAUCUAAUUUACUCUCACUGUGAAUGUCUCUGCUUUGCAUGGUCCUGAUGUAAUAAGGUUCAGAGAAAUACUAUUGCUUGUAGGGGGGUUGACAUCAACCCUCAAGAGUUGAAAACGUAAGAGAUUGUAUCAAUAACUGAAUGACAGAAUAUGAUUAGCUCAGCUGAUAUAGAUCUUACUUUAAAAAUCACUUAAAUUACAAUUACUAGCUGAUAAAUUUAAUUAAAUAUCUUUUAAGACUACUAAUGUGUUAGUAUCAAAUAAUAGUUCAGGAAGAAUUAUCAUGUAUAGUAUCAGUAAUCAUACAUUAAAUGUAUGAAAAUUUGGAUAAAUAUUAGACCUUAAAAUAACUGCCACCAGAUGGAUAAAUUGUUAUCACACAGAAGUGCUUUUUGUGAAAUCAGUAGUAAGUCUGAAUCAUAUAAUCAUAGAAUCAUAGAGUGGUUUGGGUUGGAAGGGACCUUAAAGAUCAUCUAGUUCCAAAGCCACUGCGAUGGACAGGGACAUCUUCCACUAGAUCAGGUUAUUCAGAGCCCCAUCCAUCCUAGCCUUGAACACUUCCAGGAAUGGGGAGUCCACAGCUCAUUAUUUUUGAUAAUCUGAAAUUUGACUAUUUUUCUUCCCACUUAUCUGAAAAUUAUCUAAAAUAAUUGCUGGGAAAAAUCCACUGCGGGAUGGAGGCACUCAUACAUAAUGGUGCAGAUCUCUUCAUGACUCAGUUAUGAAAAUUUGGAUUUGUAGCCAUUAAGAAGUCAUUAAUACUUAAGAAACAGGGGGUAUGUCUACAAAAUGUAACUGUUCUUGAUAGUCACUUUGAAAAUAAUUUAGGUGUCAAAUGACUAAUGCCUGAAUAAAAAUGGCUGAUGCUUUGAUAGGUAUGUCUUUCUGCUCUUUUGUACUGAAAUGGCCCAGUGGCACUUAAUUAACUGAUGAAGUGUUACUGAGACUACCACAGGGAAGCCUGGGAGGUGCUCAGAUGGUUUUGAAAUUACACCACUCAAGAUGGGCCAGUUUACAUUUUUUUUACAGUUUGUAAAAUGAUUUGAAGUGAAAGUAGCAUGCUUUGUAGUAGAAGUGCCCAAGUCCCUGACUGUACCCUUUCUGUAGUAAGCUGUGUUACAGCUACAGUAGGUGACAGCUUAAAAAAACCAUAUCAAAUCUGGGCUGGGUUCUGAACACCAUGUCCUUAUCCUGAAAGGAGACACCAAGGAAUAUGAUAUUUCCUCACAAAAAAAGAGUCCUCUUUGAACUCUGAUCUGACAGACUGUCAAUAUUGACCUCUAGCUGUUUUGUUAAGUAUUUGUUUGUGAAUCAUGUUUUCUGAAGGUUUUAGAGAAUUCAUUUUUUCUCCCCCAUUAACUCUAUAUUCAAGAAAACAUCCUCCUCAGGGAAAUAGAAGCUCAUCAGCAAUUCAGAUGUUAAAAUGCAGGUGAGUUGCUAUGGCUGUGAGGUAGCACAGUGUAAAUUUUGUUUGAAAGCCACAUAGUUUCUAUGGCCCGUUAAAAUAAAGUGGAAGUUUCACUCAAUUUGGAGGGGCACAGAGGGUGAUUUUUCAAAUAUAUUAAAAAUAUAUAUAUACACACACAAUCUUAUUGAAUGGCUUUUUGUAUUCUGUCAACAAAUUUUGAUUUAGAUGUACCUUUCUUUCUAGACAAAAAAGAGAAACUAUGUGCCUUGAUGUCAGGCGAACUCAUGUAUGCUUUAUCACAGGCACCUGAUGAAGGAAGUGCUUUCUUGUAGCACCUGUUUCACAGCUGAUAAAUUCUGCUUGAUGCAGGUGGUAAUGAAUUGUAUAUUUUUAAGGUUUAUCAGGGUUCUCAUCUCUUAGAAUUUCAUGUUCAUAUCUGUGGGAACUGUUUGUAAGUUGGUUUAGGGUUUCUUAGUGCUUCCUAGUUGAUUUUUUUAAUAGCUAUGAUGUUAAACCAGGUAACCUCAUUAAUCUGUCAGAAUUUGAAAUGUGUUCUAAAAAUUGUCUACAUUAUAAGAAGUUUCUGUUGCAAUAAACAUUUGUUCCUUUAAAUGUUCUGCAAUUAAUGCUAGAUGGUUUUAUUUUAAUGUGCCAAGAAAUAUCAAUGCAGAAAUAGCUACCGGAAUUUGAAGGCUCAGUCACAUAUAAACUUAUCAAAUGGGCUAAAGCAGUCGACUUUGAUCCCAAAUAUCCUAACUAUUCAUGUAUGAGGGUAUUCAUAAAUAAUGGAAUUGAUUAUGGUAAUGUUUAGCAGAUUUUAAUAGCUUACAUGUUUUUUAGAAGAAAAUACAUAUUGUCUGUACUGUAUUAGGAGACAGGGUAAUUGUAGAUACUCUUAAUAUUUUUCAUGCAAGUUCUUUGGAUUACAACUAACAGGAACUGAGUUAAGGCUCAUUAUGUUUUUAAAAUGUUUAAUAGAUAAAAACAAAGCAUGGGAACAAACUUCAGUAGUUAUCACAGUUAUUUAAAACCCCAGAGCAGAACUGUUGCCCGAGAUUAGGUCUCGUACCAGAAUAGCCGAACAGAGGAAGCUGUAUCUUCUGCUGCAGUUGCACAGAGGUCACUGCUGUGCCUCGGAUAAAGGUCCUGUCCUCUCCAGGACACACAGAUGUCUUGUGAACACUCAGUAACUCUGGGAUGUUCUGAAUGCAGUGGGUUUAUUGCACAAGUUCAGAUUAACCCUGGAGAGCACAGGCUGCAGUUCUGAUGUGUGAGGGCUAU